CAUAAAUUUACUUUAAAAAAAUUGUAACAAAGAAAUUUAUUGUUUUCAACUAUGGGAUCUAUUUUAUCAAUGUUCCUAUACAAAAAUGGAAAAGUAGAAUUAGAAAAAUCAAAAUCUCCUUUCAAAGCAACUAGAACAAAUAUGAAUAGUGUUUACGGAACAGAAGAUUCAAUCGUAAGCCAAAAUAAUUCUGACCAUAAAACUCCCUUUAAAUAUUUAUCUUCUCUUGAUCCACGUUCACCCACAGAAGGUAUACCUAGGACACCUAUUUUUAAAACACCACCCUCUCUAUGACAGCUUUCUACCAUCUGAAUUAUGUAAUAAUUGAAUUGUGAUAUGAUGACCUUUUUUACAAAUUAUUCAUAUUGUAAUAUUUAAUAUUGACUUUGUACAACUAUUUACCAUAUCCAAUUAAUAUAAUAUUAUAUUUAAUAUAUGUUUUUAUAAUGUAUAAAGUUAUUUGUAUUUUAUGAACUGGCAAAUCUUUCUUUAAAGUUAAACAUAAUUAUUAACCCUAUGUUUAAAAAAGAGUUUUAAAUGACGUAAAUCAAUAAUUAUUAGAAGUGUUAGUAAUUUUUUAUAUAUUUUGAACAUCCUUUUAUGGAACUAACGGUCUCUCCUUCCACUUUAAUGAGGACUUAUUUUUUUUAGGGAUAUUUAUUAAAAUUCUCUGAGACCUUUUUUUAAAAAAGUUUUGGUUUGUUUAUACAAAAAGUUUCCCUUAUUUUUGUGAUUAGUUCAAAGCUCUGAUAAAUACAUACAUUUUUAUUUAUUUUAAAAUGAGAUUCUUGAAAUUUAUUAGAAAACUAUCUUCCUCAUGGCAUUUUUACAUUUUAUUUUUGAAAUUAAAUAUUCUACUUAUUCCGAUAGUGAUCUGAUAUACUAGCCUUCAGCAACGGUUCCUUUUUACCAAAUAAGAUUUUCAUAAUUUUUUUAGAAAAAAACGACGACUCUAAUAGAGGCUAAUAUUUUAGACGGCAUAUAUUGCUUGUGGCCUUCAUAUUAAAUAAUAUUAGAAUUCAUGAUGCUCUCAUUGAUCUCUUUUUAAAAAAAUAUAUAAAUUUAUAUAUUUUUUAAAACAAAAAUACCUUUUUUAUAUUUUUUUUUAUAAAUUGUGUUUUUUAUAUUAAAGAUUAUUAUUUUUUCAAAUUUAUAUUAGACUUAAUAUCAUAUAAGAUUUAUGUUAUGUGCUGAACUUGAGAUAUUUUUUUAUUUGUGAUUUUUUAACCUAGAUUCUAAACAAAUAUCGAAAUAUUCUAUUCAUAUUUGAUGUAUUCAUAUUCGAAGAAUACAAAUAAAUUGAAAAUUCAUUUCAAAAAUAAUUUGUAAGUUUUUGUAGAUGCUUUUUUAUCAAUAAACACAGAAUUUUCUUGUUUUAAAUUGAAAUUUGAAACACAAUUCAUAGCAUAUUUUCUUUUUAUAAUUAUAAAAACAAGACAAAUUAUUUAUGUAAAAUAUUUUAUACACCAAAUUUAUUGAUCUAUUAUUUCAGAAUAAAAUAUAUAACUACCAGUCAA